GACGAACGCUGGCGGCGUGCCUAAUACAUGCAAGUCGAACGAGAGCGGCCGGUGCUUGCACUGGUCAAUCUAGUGGCGAACGGGUGAGUAACACGUGGGUAACCUGCCCAUCAGAGGGGGAUAACAUCCGGAAACGGUUGCUAAAACCGCAUAGGUCUUCGAACCGCAUGGUUUGAAGAGGAAAAGAGGCGCAAGCUUCUGCUGAUGGAUGGACCCGCGGUGCAUUAGCUAGUUGGUGAGGUAACGGCUCACCAAGGCCGUGAUGCAUAGCCGACCUGAGAGGGUGAUCGGCCACAUUGGGACUGAGACACGGCCCAAACUCCUACGGGAGGCAGCAGUAGGGAAUCUUCCGCAAUGGACGCAAGUCUGACGGAGCAACGCCGCGUGAGUGAAGAAGGUUUUCGGAUCGUAAAACUCUGUUGUUAGAGAAGAACAAGUGCUAGAGUAACUGUUAGCGCCUUGACGGUAUCUAACCAGAAAGCCACGGCUAACUACGUG
rnacentral:rRNA from 1 species